rnacentral:rRNA from 1 species
UGGGGAAUAUUGCACAAUGGGCGAAAGCCUGAUGCAGCAACGCCGCGUGAGUGAUGAAGGUCUUCGGAUUGUAAAGCUCUGUCUUUUGGGACGAUAAUGACGGUACCAAAGGAGGAAGCCACGGCUAACUACGUGCCAGCAGCCGCGGUAAUACGUAGGUGGCGAGCGUUGUCCGGAUUUACUGGGCGUAAGGGUGCGUAGGCGGAUGUUUAAGUGAGAUGUGAAAUACCCGGGCUUAACUUGGGUGCUGCAUUUCAAACUGGAUAUCUAGAGUGGCAGGAGAGG